AUUGAACGCUGGCGGCAGGCCUAACACAUGCAAGUCGGACGGUAGCACAGAGGAGCUUGCUCCUCGGGUGACGAGUGGCGGACGGGUGAGUAAUGUCUGGGAAACUGCCCGAUGGAGGGGGAUAACUACUGGAAACGGUAGCUAAUACCGCAUAACGUCGCAAGACCAAAGUGGGGGACCUUCGGGCCUCACACCAUCGGAUGUGCCCAGAUGGGAUUAGCUGGUAGGCGGGGUAACGGCCCACCUAGGCGACGAUCCCUAGCUGGUCUGAGAGGAUGACCAGCCCAACUGGGACUGAGAAACGGUCCAGACUCCUACGGGGGGCAGCAGUGGGGAAUAUUGCACAAUGGGCGCAAGCCGGAUGCAGCCAUGCCGCGUGUAUGAAGAAGGCCUUCGGGUUGUAAAGUACUUUCAGCGGGGAGGAAGGUGCUGAGGUUAAUAAGCUCAGCAAUUGACGUUACCCGCAGAAGAAGCACCGGCUAACUCCGUGCCAGCCGCCGCAGUAA
rnacentral:rRNA from 1 species